rnacentral:rRNA from 1 species
UACGUAGGGUGCGAGCGUUGCCCGGAUUUAUUGGGCGUAAAGGGCGCGUAGGCGGUUCGUACAGUCAGACGUGAAAUCCUGGGCUCAACCUGGGGGCUGCGUUUGAUACAUGCGGACUUGAGUGCGGAAGAGGGUCGUGGAAUUCCCAGUGUAGAGGUGAAAUUCGUAGAUAUUGGGAAGAACACCGGUGGCGAAGGCGGCGACCUGGUCCGAUACUGACGCUGAGCGCGAAAGCGUGGGGAGCAAACAGG